rnacentral:rRNA from 1 species
UGCAGUCGAGCGGGGGAGGUUGCUUCGGUAACUGACCUAGCGGCGGACGGGUGAGUAAUGCUUAGGAAUCUGCCUAUUAGUGGGGGACAACAUCUCGAAAGGGAUGCUAAUACCGCAUACGUCCUACGGGAGAAAGCAGGGGAUCUUCGGACCUUGCGCUAAUAGAUGAGCCUAAGUCGGAUUAGCUAGUUGGUGGGGUAAAGGCCUACCAAGGCGACGAUCUGUAGCGGGUCUGAGAGGAUGAUCCGCCACACUGGGACUGAGACACGGCCCAGACUCCUACGGGAGGCAGCAGUGGGGAAUAUUGGACAAUGGGGGGAACCCUGAUCCAGCCAUGCCGCGUGUGUGAAGAAGGCCUUUUGGUUGUAAAGCACUUUAAGCGAGGAGGAGGCUACCGGUAUUAAUACUACCGGAUAGUGGACGUUACUCGCAGAAUAAGCACCGGCUAACUCUGUGCCAGCAGCCGCGGUAAUACAGAGGGUGCGAGCGUUAAUCGGAUUUACUGGGCGUANAGCGUGCGUAAGCGGCUUUUUAAGUCGGAUGUGAAAUCCCUGAGCUUAACUUANGAAUUGCAUUCGAUACUGGGAGGCUAGAGUAUGGGAGAGGAUGGUAGAAUUCCANGUGUAGCGGUGAAAUGCGUANAGAUCUGGANGAAUACCGAUGGGCGAGGCAGCCAUCUGGCCUAAUACUGACGCUGAAGCACGAAGGCCAGGGGAGCAAACGGGAUUAGAUACCCCGGUAGUCCUGGCAGUAAACGGUGCGCGUUUGGUGUGGGGAGAUUCGNACCCCUUCCGUGCGGGAGCUAACGCGUUUAACGCGGCCGCCUGGGGAGUACGGUCGCAAGAAUAAAACUCAAAGAAAUUGACGGGGGGCCCGCACAGCNGUGGAAUAUGUUGCUUUAUUCNAUGGCACGCGAAAAACCUUACUGGGGCUGAAAUGCAUCCCUAGUC